UUCAAUCAAACCUUUUUUUUUUUUGGCGUCCCCUAUAUGCCGGGCACUGUGCCACAUGCCGAGAUUCGGGUGGUGAACUUCGUGAUCUACUUCAGCAAUCUGUUUAAUUCCAGGGCCAGGCUUCGCCUAUCUCUGAGGACUAACGGGGCAGGCAUUUUGCGAGACGAGCAAGGUUCUUUGCUUGGAGUCUCAGAAGGCUGCAAUCAAGUUGUCCAGGGCCGCAUUCUCCCUUGGAGACUCAACUGGGGAAGAAUCCACUUGCAAGCCUAUUCAGGUUGUUGGCAGAACUUACUUCCUUGCGACUGUGUGACUGAGGGCCUGGGAUUUUUGCCAGCUGGAUUUUUCCUGGAGGUUACCACAGAUCCUUGUCAGGCCUGGCCCCUUAAAGCCUGUCUGAAAACAGAGGACUCUGACCAUCUAGAGGAAGACAUAGUCACAACAUGGUAGAAGCCUGGGUCCCAAGUGAGUGGAUGGCACAGGCCUCCCUCCCCAAACCUGCACUAAACUACAAU